rnacentral:lncRNA from 1 species
GGCAUUUGUUGUUGAAGAAAUCAGGUCAUGGGAUCCACUACAGCCUGUCGACCCAGAGCCAACAGUUUCCUUACCUGCUACUCCUGUGUGUGAUGAAAAAGUAAGGAAAGUAUUCACUGAGAAGAGAAUUGAACCUAAUGACAUGACAUUGAAGCGCAAAAUGAGAUCCAGAACAAAGGUAUGUAGCAAGUCUUCUGUAUUCGCUGUUGGAGAGAGAGUGUCUGCUCUUUUUAGAUACGCUGGAAAGGAUGCUGCACAUGAAUGGUGCCCAGCAGUCAUUCAGAAUGUAAUUCUAAAUGGU